CAACCACCAUCACCAUCACCUGUGAUCCCUCUAUAUAAAUCCUCUCACUCCACUCAGUCUCUGCCAAAUCGUCUCUCGUACUCACAGAGCUUUCCCACAACUCCUGAACUGUUUCUACAACACUGAUUCUGCCUGUUUCUGAACCCUCGCCUGUCUGACCACCCGCCCAUUGUCGAGUCCCUGCCGGCCUGUCUGCUUCCCUGUUUCCUGCCCCUCGCCUGCCUGUCUGCCCUCCCGUUGCCGAUCCCUCACUUGCUGACCUACCAACGAUUCCCUGCCCACUUCUGUUGUCUGUCCAUGCACUUGGGUUCUGCCUAACCCUCCCGUUACAGCACGAUCUGGCCAAGAAUGGACCCAGCCCAGACGGACGACCGCAUCUCCCGGAUGGAGAACGCGCUGCAGCAGGUGAUGGCUGCCACCAGGGCCGCCACAGCUCAGGGACAACAAGACCUGGCACAAGUCCGCCAGGAAUUGGCGAACGUCCUCCUCUGGCCCCAGCGGUAACCGAAACUGCCGCCCCUCCACCCCGUGAGCCGAAUGUGGGAGCCCCCGAACGUUACGAUGGCAACCCUACCACCUGCAACGCCUUCCUGUGCAAUUGCUCCAUAAUCUUCUCCCUUCAGCCGCUCACCUUCGCCUCCAAAGAAACCCGGGUGGCUUACACCAAAAACCACCUCUCCAGAU
ensembl:lncRNA